CCUACGGGUGGCAGCAGUGAGGAAUAUUGGUCAAUGGACGAGAGUCUGAACCAGCCAAGUAGCGUGAAGGAUGACUGCCCUAUGGGUUGUAAACUUCUUUUAUAUGGGAAUAAAAUGUUCCACGUGUGGGAUUUUGUAUGUACCAUAUGAAUAAGGAUCGGCUAACUCCGUGCCAGCAGCCGCGGUAAUACGGAGGAUCCGAGCGUUAUCCGGAUUUAUUGGGUUUAAAGGGAGCGUAGGUGGAUUGUUAAGUCAGUUGUGAAAGUUUGCGGCUCAACCGUAAAAUUGCUGUUGAAACUGGCAGUCUUGAGUACAGUAGAGGUGGGCGGAAUUCGUGGUGUAGCGGUGAAAUGCUUAGAUAUCACGAAGAACUCCGAUUGCGAAGGCAGUUCACUGGACUGCAACUGACACUGAGGCUCGAAAGUGUGGGUAUCAAACAGGAUUAGAUACCCGAGUAGUC
rnacentral:rRNA from 1 species